rnacentral:rRNA from 1 species
GACGAACGCUGGCGGCGUGCUUAACACAUGCAAGUCGAACGGAAAGGCCCUGCUUUUGUGGGGUGCUCGAGUGGCGAACGGGUGAGUAACACGUGAGUAACCUGCCCUUGACUUUGGGAUAACUUCAGGAAACUGGGGCUAAUACCGGAUAGGAGCUCCUGCUGCAUGGUGGGGGUUGGAAAGUUUCGGCGGUUGGGGAUGGACUCGCGGCUUAUCAGCUUGUUGGUGGGGUAGUGGCUUACCAAGGCUUUGACGGGUAGCCGGCCUGAGAGGGUGACCGGCCACAUGGGGACUGAGAUACGGCCCAGACUCCUACGGGAGGCAGCAGUGGGGAAUAUUGCACAAUGGGCGGAAGCCUGUUGCAGCAACGCCGCGUGCGGGAUGACGGCCUUCGGGUUGUAAACCGCUUUCGCCUGUGACGAAGCGUGAGUGACGGUAAUGGGUAAAGAAGCACCGGCUAACUACGUG